ensembl:lncRNA
CGGAGCCUAUAACAUAGAGCGCGAAAGUUGUUCGGCUCAAUGAGAUCUAUAAGUGUACAGAGUUUCAUAUAAAUACAUGCAAGUAUGUGUGAGCUAUACUUCAAGAUUUCUGACUGUGUUCCAGGGGGCGCCGUAGAGCCCCUGUGCCACGCCCGGAUCCCAGCCUCUGCGGCGUCCUAACUAUCAUUAAUACUUAUAUGUGUUUUGAGUUUCAUGAAAUUCUAUGUACGUUGUCUGCCUCAAAAUCACCAGAGAAGAAUAUUCAGGUUUGACAUGUCGCCAUGGCAACAAUAUUAUAGUUAUCAAUAUCCCCUCAACAGUUUUAUAUCUGCCAUUUUUUGUCAUUAUUCUGAUGAAGUUUGAAGCAAAUUGAGUAAAAAUAAGAUGCUGAAUUCAAAGCAUUUUGAAAAUGACACACUUCCUGCUGCCAGUUGGUGUCGCUAUAACUUUGGAUCCUAAUAGUCAGAUCAGUGUGAUCAGCAUCAUAAAACGAACAAACCAAUGAAGUUUGAUCAAGAUCAGAAAAUGUAUGUGGAUGUUAUUAGACACUUCCUGUUUCUCAUUUUUUGCCCUAAUUUCAACGCCUCGCCACGAGCAAACCGUUCGAGAUAUCAAAAAUCCCCUGGCAAUUUUGCAUCCCCAAUGUCUUGAGAUCAUGUUCACCGAGUUGAAAGUCCUCAGAGGAGUAUUUCAAAUUCCAGAGCAUGCUUUUUUUAAACAGCUCUGAAUAGCUCACUUCCUGUUGGGCGGAGCCUAUGAUAUAGAGUGCGAAAGUUGUUCGGCUCAAUGAGAUCUAUAAGUGUACAGAGUUUCAUAUAAAUACAUGCAAGUAUGUGUGAGCUAUGGUUCAAGAUUUCUGACUGUGUUCCAGGGGGCGCCGUAGAGCCCCUGUGCCACGCCCGGGUCCCAGCCUCUGCGGCGUUCCGGAUGGCCACAGGUUCCAAUGUGUGUGCCAAUUUUCAAGAGUUUUUGAGUAUGUUAAGGCCCUGAAAAACCCCCGGAAGUUUUAUAAAAAAAAAAUAUAUAUAUAUAAUAAUAAGAAUAAUCCUUAGAAAAACAAGAGGGCCCUGCGCCCAUUGGCUCGGGCCCUAAUAAUUAAAGCUGCAUGCAGCGAUGAAAGGGCCCUCGCACCCGGGCUCACCACCAACCGGUGGCCAUAGGAGAACAGCGAACGUUGAGCCAUAUGCUUAUAAAAAGAUAAAUAUUUGUGCCACAUUUCCUGCUGCCAACUGUUGGCGCUAUGAUUAUAACUGAAUAUCGGCAUGUAAAUGUCUUCAGGCCAGGACUCUUACCAAACAUGCAAUGUUUCGGGCAGAUCAGACAUUGCAUGUUUAAAUUAGUGUAAAAGAAGUAAUUUCCUGUUGCCAGCAGGUGGCGCUAAGACUAUAAACAAAUAUUGGCCUAAAGAUGAGUUCAGGCCAGGACCCAUAUCAAACACAAGAACUUUGGGCAGACCGGAUAUUGAAUGUUUAAGUUAGUUUAAAAUAAGUAAUUUCCUGUUGCCAGCAGGUGGCGCUAUAAUUAUAAUUGAAUAUUGGCCUUUAGAUGUGUUCAGGCCAGGACUCUUAUAAAACGUGUGAAAUUUGGGGCAGAUUGGGCAUUGUAUGCAAGAGUUACAACAACUUCCUGUUUCAUAGUAUUAAUAGAAUGCUUUAGC